CACGAAUAUCUGGAGCUCGAGUUUGCAAAGCCCGAAGUAUGUGAUGCAUUUCGUAACGCCUGCGACAUAUACAAGUUCAUAAUGCUGAACCAUAUGGUAGAAGAAAACAUCGGCAAGCGUCUGCAGGCAACAAUACUAGCACGGGUUGCCUUCUUCAGGGAAGCAGGCUCCUGCCCCAACGGAAGAAGCCACAGAAGAAAUCUGCUAGGCUUCAUGACCAAUUUGCAGUUGACGGGGGAAAACUGGGUGCAGGCAACUAUAAAAAAUGUGUCUUCUUGCAGCUCUCUGGUCGCCGCCCCCCGCCUCAUAAAAGUGCAGCUCUGUGGUCGCUGCCUCGCCGCCUCAUAAGCACGAAAGUUCAUUGUAUGCCAAAAAUAGAUAGAUCAAUUCACCGACUUGUGCAAUUCAAUUGAAAAGCUUCAAGUCUCCCCAAAAUUUACUAAUUUUGUUCAAAGUCUAUGAUUCCUCUUUGGCAGACGACAAGGAAAUUAAUUACUGACCGUACAAAAGUUUAUCUUACUGCCUGGCAGUCGGUACAGAACCAAUAUUGUUGCUUAACAUAUACCCAUUGUCUUGGCUUUUAAAUUUAAAUCGUAAGCCAAAGGGAUCAUGCAACUUCCAGCAUAUGUUAUUCUUUACCGGUAAUUAAAAGCGAAGCAUAACAGAACGGAUUACCCACAAGUUGCAAAUGCUGGAGAAGCCGUUAUUCUCUAUUUACCUAAUAACAGUGUUACCCUUAAUGGACUAAAGGCGCCGGUGAUGAAUCUAAAGCAGUCGAUAUGCAAAAUACUAGGACAUCAUAUGUACAGAUGAAGGUCUCGGAUUUGGAAGAAGGAAUGUACACUUUCGUUUUAAAAGUCACCGACGGUAGUGGACAAUCGAGCA